CCUCUGGUGGAAAAAAGCUCCAAAAACAUUUUCUGAAGAAACCCCUUCUUUAUAAAUACAGAAAAAUAAUUUUGUCAAAAUUAAGUAAAAACCAUGUAGCAGGUACAAUGAUGUUUUCAGCCACUAGAAAUUCUGGUCUGGAACUACAGUAGAAAGAGGGAAGCUAAUACAACACUUUCUGCUGACCUGCAUCACUCUCUGUGUAAAACUCACGCUGGAAAACUGGAAAGAGAAGAACUUAAUUUCCAGCAACUCGGAAAGUGCUUGAUCAGUACAAACCCAGCUUUAUCACAGCGUUCAGUAUGACCUGAACUAUUUUUCCGAAGUCAUUGUUCAUAUACUGGCAUCUUCCUAAGGCUUUAGAAGCACAUUUGAAGGGUAAAUAGGAAGCUCUGAACAUUCAGAACAUUUGUGUGUGUCCUAUGAAAGGUGUUGUCCAACAAACAAACAUCUCCCUUAUCCAUAGUUAAAAUGGAUUGCUAUUGUAACAACAAAGAAAGGUUGUCACAGGAUUUCUCAGAAGGCAGCAGAGGGGUCAGGAAGAAGGAUGGUUGUCUGACCGUGUACUGUAGGUGGCACCACUUCUACACAAUAAUAGAAAUCUGCAGUUCCUUGGUAAACAUCUUUGUCAGCAGGAACCAAGAUGCUCCCAGCCUGUAGGACCUGGCACGCAGUGGCAAGAUUUAUGAAAUCUGUCUUCAACCAAAUACUAUUUCUCGACAAAAGCUUCAUAUUCCAUAGUGAGAGACUCCAUUUGCAGAAUCAAGCUUAAU